UACGGAGGGUGCAAGCGUUGUCCGGAUUUAUUGGGUUUAAAGGGUGCGUAGGCGGCCCCUGUAAGUCAGUGGUGAAAUACUGCAGCUUAACUGUAGCAUUGCCAUUGAUACUGUAGGGCUUGAGUACAGAUGAGGUGGGGCGGAAUUGAUGGUGUAGCGGUGAAAUGCAUAGAUACCAUCAAGAACACCGAUUGCGAAGGCAGCUUACUAAGCUGUAACAUG
rnacentral:rRNA from 1 species